rnacentral:ncRNA from 1 species
UAGAUAGAUGAGGUAAGUUGGCAAAUUAGAAAUAAAAAAUUUGUGGUUGUUUAAUUAAAAAAAAACAUUGCAAUGGCCCUUGUAGAUAUUAGUGCAAUGUGAUUUCUACCUAGUGCUCUAAAUGUUAAAGUGAAGAAAUUAAGCAAACAUAGAUAAAUGGCAAGAGUAAUUAUGACUCUCUUAGGUAGCCAAAUGCGUCAUCAUCUAAUUAGUGACAUGCAUGAAUGGAUUAAUGAGAUUCCCAUUGUCCCUCUAUUAUCUAGCUAAACCAUGGCUAAGGGAACGAGCUUAG